rnacentral:rRNA from 1 species
UAUGCUUAGGGCUACACACGUGCUACAAUGGGUAGUACAGAGGGUUGCCAAGCCGUAAGGUGGAGCUAAUCCCUUAAAGCUAUUCUCAGUUCGGAUUGUAGGCUGAAACUCGCCUACAUGAAGCUGGCGUUACUAGUAAUCGCAGAUCAGAAUGCUGCGGUGAAUGCGUUCCCGGGUCUUGUACACACCGCCCGUCACACCACGGG